GACGAACGCUGGCGGCGUGCUUAACACAUGCAAGUCGAACGGAAAGGCCCUGCUUGCAGGGUACUCGAGUGGCGAACGGGUGAGUAUCACGUGGGUGAUCUGCCCUGCACUUCGGGAUAAGCCUGGGAAACUGGGUCUAAUACCGGAUAGGAGCCAUUUUUAGUGUGAUGGUUGGAAAGUUUUUUCGGUGUAGGAUGAGCUCGCGGCCUAUCAGCUUGUUGGUGGGGUAAUGGCCUACCAAGGCGGCGACGGGUAGCCGGCCUGAGAGGGUGGACGGCCACAUUGGGACUGAGAUACGGCCCAGACUCCUACGGGAGGCAGCAGUGGGGAAUAUUGCACAAUGGGCGCAAGCCUGAUGCAGCGACGCCGCGUGGGGGAUGACGGCCUUCGGGUUGUAAACUCCUUUCGCUAGGGACGAAGCUUUUUGUGACGGUACCUAGAUAAGAAGCACCGGCUAACUACGUG
rnacentral:rRNA from 1 species